rnacentral:rRNA from 1 species
GAUGAACGCUGGCGGCGUGCCUAAUACAUGCAAGUCGAGCGAACAGACGAGGAGCUUGCUCCUCUGACGUUAGCGGCGGACGGGUGAGUAACACGUGGAUAACCUACCUAUAAGACUGGGAUAACUUCGGGAAACCGGAGCUAAUACCGGAUAAUAUAUUGAACCGCAUGGUUCAAUAGUUAAAGACGGUUUUGCUGUCACUUAUAGAUGGAUCCGCGCCGCAUUAGCUAGUUGGUAAGGUAACGGCUUACCAAGGCAACGAUGCGUAGCCGACCUGAGAGGGUGAUCGGCCACACUGGAACUGAGACACGGUCCAGACUCCUACGGGAGGCAGCAGUAGGGAAUCUUCCGCAAUGGGCGAAAGCCUGACGGAGCAACGCCGCGUGAGUGAUGAAGGUCUUCGGAUCGUAAAACUCUGUUAUUAGGGAAGAACAAAUGUGUAAGUAAAUAUGCACGUCUUGACGGUACCUAAUCAGAAAGACACGGCUAACUACGUG